ACAUGGAUUCUGUCGUUAAUGUCUUUGAGGAUGUGCUCUACUCUGUCCAGACAACUCGCACCCCACAUUUCCUUGGUCUCAAUUCUAACUUUGCCUUGGCUGGUGGACGUAAAUUUCAAGAAAUCGAACAAGUUACUCAUGACGUUAUUGUCGGAGUUCUUGACACUGGCAUAUGGCCAGAGUCAAAAAGUUUCGACGACACGGGCUUACCUGAGAUCCCAAAACGUUGGAGGGGAAACUGUAACUCCACACUCGAUUUCGAUCACAAAUUCUGCAAUAAGAAGUUGAUCGGAGCUAAUUAUUUCAUGGAAGGACACAAGAAAGAAGCACCCAGAUCGAAGGAUAUUGCCUCACCUAGAGACUACGAUGGCCAUGGAACACACACUGCAAGUACUAUUGCUGGGUCGCCGGUAAAGAACGCAACUUUGUUAGGAUUUGCGAGAGG
rnacentral:lncRNA from 1 species